GGAGAUAUAGCUCAGUGGCAGAGUCCUUGCUUGGUAGCCCUGGGUUCAAUCCCCAGUAUCACAA
rnacentral:tRNA from 1 species